UUGUCUGUGCUGUGUUAGAGCUAUAUACGAAUCUUGCAUGCGGUCAUAUGUAGGGAAUGUGUUAAUAAAGGUGGUGGAUGUACUGGACGAAGCCUGCCAGUGUGUCGUUACGACGCGAGACAGUUACCUCGAACAAGAAGCAGUCAUUUGGAGUGGUAAAUCACGUGGAUAAAUCUGAUCAUGUUUGUGGUUUACGUUAUCUGAUUUAAUUAAGUGUGACUGUGAGUGACAGGCGAGCGCUCCAGUUGAAAAAGGAGCCUCGAGGCCAAUCACUGCCAAUCAGUCGUUGCUCUAAUUGGUUGUUAGCACUGUAAUAAUCAUUCUGUGGAACUGUUGACCCGCACUGGACCUUUUUGUGAGCCCAGGAAACUGUGGGUGUUAACUACUGAAGACAAGUCUCGGCGGACUGACUUAGAUAAUUUUUCCACAUACGAUUUCCCGUAUAUGUUGAGUUAAAAGUAGAUUUAAACUGAUAUAUACACAUGCGCGGCGCACGAGUGCAAGCAGUGCACGCACGCAUGUAUACGCGCGCCCACGCACACACACAUACGGUGUAAAAUGAAGUGUUUUGUUUCCUCAUGUUUUGUCCUCUACUGGCUGAAUAUUUUGUUCCAUUAUUUAUUAAAUGCUUGACAAUACUCGUCACAUUUUUGCUUCUCAAACUUUUAAUUCCGCUCAGGGAUUCAAGCUUUUUAUGAUUUCCAUGAAAGAUUUAACUCUGCAUUCGCUACUAAUGCAACAUAUUAUUUGUUUUACAAAUAUUAACUUUUCGAUCGUAAUUAAUAUGUAUAUACGUUUUUUUUUUCCGGUCUACCUAUUGCAGUCAAGUUCCAACCGCUAGUUGGAUCAUGAUUACUGCAGUGGAACCUCGGUUCCUGUUUAUGAUAAAUCGGUUCACGAGCAAAUUUUUCGAUUUUUUGUGCAUCGGUUCACGAACGCUGUUUCUGUGAGCGAACGUACACAAGGUCUGUAAUAAAUGUCCGCAUCCAUCACACAAUCUUAACUUGCGGGUGAUUAUCAUAUACUGGAAAGUCUUUUAGGUGUCAAGAUAUAGAUGCAGGGAUCUUAUCUGUCCAUGUAUGGAGUACGCUUCACAUAGUGAGGGGGGUUUCCACUCAUACUGCGCUUUUGAACAGGAUGGAAUCAAAAGUAAUUUGUCUUACCAACUCCUCUCCUGUGACUGUCUUCAGUCUUUCUCUCUUCACCGCAAUGUUGCAUCUUUUGCUCUCUUCUGUCGCUACUUUCACGCUUACUGCUCUUCUGACAUUGUUAACUGUCAAGUAGUAUUCAUGGCAUUCUUCUACUAUCGCCUUUCUGUGCAAGGCUUUCUCUAUUAAAAUAGCUUUAAUAGCAACAUAUUUUCCUGAUCUAACAUUCAUAUGGUGUUAUAGACUGUCUCUGGAACCUUGGCUUCCUUACUGAAAGAAAUGAUCACUGAGAUAAGGAUGUCUGGGAGCCUUCCCGCAUUUUUGCCAAGUUUGCUUUGCUCUGCACCUUGGCACCCUCAGUGUAGGGGUUGUUUCUGCAGUGUGCAUGGUAACGAGUAAUGACAAUCUUCCUUUUCCUGUCUCGAGUUAUUGCAAGGUGGGUAGAUCAGCCAUGACCAUGAAUCAUCACAGUGCACCACACCACAAACAUAUAUUUGUUGUUGUCUUUUCACUUAAACAAAUCUUAUUAUGUUGAAUUUGCAUUAAUAUUUGAAUGACUAAUUCAGUCCUAUUUAAAAUGUGCUGCAUUUGUGCAGGGAUAUAAUUUCACAGCAGCCAUCAGAAAGAGUAUUUACUAAAAUCAACAUGAUGUAUUUGUCUCCUUCCCAUCCUCAACCUGAAGCUCAAAAUUAAUUAGUCCAGUAAAAUCCCUCUCAUCCGGCAUUCGAGUAUCCGGCAGCUUCAAGUAUCCGGCACAUUUUUCCCCGAGCCUUAAAAUCAAUAAAAAAUUAAUGUGUACUCAUAAAAUCGAUUAAGAUUCCCGCGCGAGGCAUACUUUGUCCCCUCGCCACCAGAGCGCACUGCUCCGCACCACCCGCGGCCCACUGCACUGUGUUUACUCAGUGACUCAGUCCCGCGUGUGUACUGUUUAUUGCCUGAUGCCUUCAUCAUGCCUAAAGUUGUAGAAAAGAGGAAGCGUGUUGUACUUACACUUAAGCAGAAGGUGGACAUUUGUCGACGAUUAGAGAGAGGUGAAAGCAGACAGCAACUAAUGGCGGAAUAUGGUGUGGGUUCAUCAACUAUUUAUGACAUUAAAUCCCAAAUGAAAAAGUUGCGGGAUUACAUGAAAGCCACCGACACCCCAAAGGCAGCGGAAAAUCGUCACACACUGCAGUAUCAUCGUGGUGAAAUGAUGGACAAAGUGUUAUACGAGUGGUUCAGCUUGAAAAGAUCAGGAGUCACAAUUACAGGCCCAAUGCUACAACUGUGUGUUGGUGAGUGUGAGGUGGCAGCGCGGGUGGCGACGCGCGGCACGGCGAUCAGCUGAUCUUUGCUAUGAGGCCAGGUGGUGCCAUGGGAGGGAGUCCAGCAGCAGUGGUACAAGUGGGAGCAGUAUGAUCAGUGCUCCCCUAGGGUGACUAAGGCACAAGCAGCCUGCUGGUGAGUGCUGCACAACACAAGUGAGCACCACUGACUGGUUGGUGGGAAAUGUUUUAUUCAUCUGUUUUCUUUGAGUAUUGUAGCCAGGUAGAACAAUGCUACGCCACUGCUUUAUUAAUGAAAACACUCCCUUGAACUUACGUCAUUAGUGCAUGUUGUAACAAUUUCAGACCACUUUACAUGGUAAAUUUUGAGUAAAUGAUUUAUCUGGA